rnacentral:tRNA from 1 species
GCCCCCGUAGCUCAGCUGGUAGAGCGCUACCUUGGUAAGGUAGAGGUCUCCGGUUCAAAUCCGGUCGGGAGCU